GACGAACGCUGGCGGCGUGCUUAACACAUGCAAGUCGAACGGAAAGGCCUUUUCGGAGGUACUCGAGUGGCGAACGGGUGAGUAACACGUGGGUGAUCUGCCCUGCACUCUGGGAUAAGCCUGGGAAACUGGGUCUAAUACCGGAUAGGACCGCACUUUAGUGUGUGUGGUGGAAAGUUUUUUCGGUGUAGGAUGAGCCCGCGGCCUAUCAGCUUGUUGGUGGGGUAAUGGCCUACCAAGGCGGCGACGGGUAGCCGGACUGAGAGGUUGGUCGGCCACAUUGGGACUGAGAUACGGCCCAGACUCCUACGGGAGGCAGCAGUGGGGAAUACUGCACAAUGGGCGCAAGCCUGAUGCAGCGACGCCGCGUGGGGGAUGACGGCCUUCGGGUUGUAAACUCCUUUCGCCAGGGACGAAGCGUUUUGUGACGGUACCUGGAGAAGAAGCACCGGCUAACUACGU
rnacentral:rRNA from 1 species